UGGAGUACUGGAAGGAUUGAUGACCUAUUGAGAAGUGAUUCGCGAUAUCGUGUGAGUGAGGCCAAAACACAGGAAAAGAUCAUUUCGUGAUUGCAGGGUCAGUAAACAAGACUUUCGAGCCUCUAAAAAAUUAAUGCAGCUCCCGUCGCACGGGAUAAGGCCAAUGGGCCAAGUGAGCGGGUAUGGACAGUCGGAACGUUACAUAUUAAUCGCUAUGAAAUCUAGCAAAUCCUAUAUCAAAGCAUAUUGAGAUCCUGUAAACAC
rnacentral:lncRNA from 1 species